rnacentral:misc_RNA from 1 species
AACGCAACUUGCGCCCCUUGGUAUUCCGAGGGGCACGCCUGUUUGAGUGUCGUGAAUUCCUCCACCCUUUCACUUUGUUGUGGUUGGGAUGGGAUUUGGGGGUUUUUUGCGGGAUCUUUCGAGUCCGCUCCCCUUGAAUGCAUUAGCGAAAAGACCCUCGUGGCCUCGGUGUGAUAAUUAUCUACGCCGUUCGGACGCGAAUCGACUUUUGCUUCUAAUCGUCUUCGGACAACACAUCUAAAACUUGACCUCAAAUCAGGCGGGACUACCCGCUGAACUUAA